UACAGAGACUGCAAGCGUUAUUCGGAUUCACUGGGCGUAAAGGGUGCGCAGGCGGUCGGGUGUGUCAGAUGUGAAAUCCCGAGGCUCAACCUCGGAACUGCGUCUGAAACUACUCGACUAGAGUACUGGAGAGGGUAACGGAAUUCACGGUGUAGCAGUGAAAUGCGUAGAUAUCGUGAGGAACACCAGAGGCGAAGGCGGUUACAUGGACAGUUACUGACGCUCAGGCACGAAAGCAUGGGGAGCAAAAGGG
rnacentral:rRNA from 1 species